UAAAAAAAAUAUAAUUUCGUAGCCUUGAACUACGAUUGCUCUGACUUUCCCCAUUGGGAAUACGUAGGCACAAGACACAAACGUCUUGGCGAGCAUAAUAAUAAAAAUUCUUACCUUUUUUCUCCAUAAUUAAAAACCAAAAACAUGUUUCUCUUCAUUAAAUAAACGUAUUGCGAAACAACUAAAUGGGUCCCAUCGAGUACGAUGGAGGUAAGGGGUGCUAAUACCUUCCCCUUGCUUAACCGACUCCCGAACCCAAAUUUGGUUACGAAGACCAACUUAUCCAUUGUUUUCAUUUCCCAAGGGUUUUAUCAAUAUUUUCCCUUUCCCAUUGGAAUAAAUAAAAUUUGGUGGCGACUCUGUUUACAUUUCGUGGCGAUCAUUUUUUGACCCGCGACAGAUACGUUUUCGAGUAAUUUGCUAUGAAAUGCACCGAACUCUAAGCUCGGAUACUUGUUUCCUUCAUUAACAUCUGAUACACAUGACUUUGCAAUGUCAUGGAUAAGCUUCCUGAAGCACGAAUCACGUUUAUUGGAGAUGGACCUUACAGGUACAAAGUUGCAUUUCUUAUGAAUGUAUUUAGGUACCAAGCUUUCAAAGGUUGAUAUCACUGUCUAUUCAGAUUUGCAAUCAGUUCCAUCAUCUGAAUAUGAGAAUGUUUCUAGGUGGUUCAAGCUAAUUGAUGUUUUGCUAAGAAUUUCGUAUGUUCCCCCUUUGCACAUUGUUACCCUGUUAUUGUCUCAGCUGGCUUCACUGCUGUUCAGGAUGAAUAGGUAGCUGGUUCUGGCAAGGAAAAAAACAGGAACAAAAGCUGGUACGGUAAUGCUCAAAUGUCCUGGCCAUUUGCGUUGUCUAGGCCAUUGCAUUGAAGCCAACAAGAAAAUAAUUGUACAAAAGAGGCAUUGUACCUGCUAAAAGAGGAGGCAAGGUGGCUGCAGUUUGUACUUCAACGAAAGCGGCAUUGGAGAAAGCAGUAGAUAGUGUUGCCAACAAAAUUAAUGAUGUUUAAGUAUCGGACUAGAUAUGCUCCAAUGUACUUUGCUUUCAUCCUUUUUUUCAAGGACA